AUUGAACGCUGGCGGCAGGCCUAACACAUGCAAGUCGAGCGGGUGAAGGGAGCUUGCUCCUGGCUUCAGCGGCGGACGGGCGAGUAAUGCCUAGGAAUCUGCCUGGUAGUGGGGGAUAACGUCCGGAAACGGGCGCUAAUACCGCAUACGUCCUGAGGGAGAAAGUGGGGGAUCUUCGGACCUCACGCUAUCAGAUGAGCCAAGGUCGGAUUAGCCAGUUGGUGGGGUAAAGGCCUACCAAGGCGACGAUCCGUAACUGGUAUGAGGGGAUGAUCAGGCACACUGUAACAGAGAAACGGCCCCCACUCCUAGGGGGAGACGCAGCGGGGACUCUUGGGGGAUGGGGGAAAGCCUAAUACAGCAAUGCCGGGUGUGUGAAGAAGGUCUUCGGACUGUAAAGCACUUUAAGUUGGGGGGAUGGGCAGUAAGUUAAUACCUUGCUGUUUUGACGUUACCGACAGAAUAAGCCCCGGCUAACUUCGUG
rnacentral:rRNA from 1 species